UCGAGAAUCUUCGGCAAUGGGCGCAAGCCUGACCGAGCGACGCCGCGUGGAGGACGAAGGCCUUCGGGUUGUAAACUCCUGUCGAGGGGGAGGAAGGCGCAAGCUUGACCGAUCCCUGGAGGAAGCACGGGCUAAGUUCGUGCCAGCAGCCGCGGUAAGACGAACCGUGCGAACGUUAUUCGGAAUUACUGGGCUUAAAGCGCGUGUAGGCGGGCCGGCACGUCCGACGCUGAAAUCCCCCGGCUCAACCGGGGAAGUGGCGGGGAUACGACCGGCCUCGAGGGGGGUAGGGGGACCUGGAACUUCCGGUGGAGCGGUGAAAUGCGUUGAGAUCGGAAGGAACGCCCGUGGCGAAAGCGAGGUCCUGGACCCUUUCUGACGCUGAGACGCGAAAGCCAGGGGAGCGAACG
rnacentral:rRNA from 1 species